rnacentral:misc_RNA from 1 species
AAGAAUCGCCCCGUUUUUUCGAGAAUGGGUUCUAUUCCCACAACCGUGUAUACAUACCUUUGUUGCUUUGGCGGGCCGCCCUUCGGGGCGUUGGCUUAGGCUAACCGCGCCCGCCAGAGGACCCAAACUCUUUUUGUUUAGUAAUGUCUGAGUACUAUAUAAUAGUUA